UUGAAAGCCCUGGAGACUGAAGUCUUCUAUUAUUCCACAGAACAGGUACAGCACAGGCAGCGACCGUGCAAGCUUCCCACACACUGCCCCACCAAUGCGCUUCAGCCCUGAACUGGAGGGUAGUUCAGUCUCCAUGCCCAUUCAGUCCCUGGCCUCU
ensembl:misc_RNA